UUCCCAGGCCAGGGACUGAACUGGAGCCACAGCAGCGGCCAGAGCCACAGCAGUGACAAUGCCAGAUCCUUAACCCACUGAAUCACCAAGAAACUCCAGGAAAAUUCUUAAGAGUUUAUUACUUCCAUUGUUUCCUUUAGCCACCGGAGUGUGGAUAUAUGACUGGUAUUAUUUUACCAUCAAAAAGAUCCCGCUUUAUAGUAAACAACCAUAUUAUUCACUUUUAUUUCCUUGAAAGUAGUCGGCUACAUGAUAACUGUGUUUUUGGAAAGACUUUCAAAUAAGAAUAAUUAUAUUGCAUAACCAGAACCACUAUGUUUUUGGUUAACGUAGGUAUUAUCAUCAAGACCUUAACACUGUGCCCACAGAGUCAGAUCAAGCCACCAAAGGGAUUCUAACCGAUGUCACUCUAAUCCUGAAGCAUUUGUGGCACUCACAAAGAGGAAGCACAUAAAAAAGACUCCAAAAAGAAUGAUACAGUAAACAGAUUAACUGAAUCCAAUCAAGUGAUUUGAUAACCUGCCUGGGAAUAGACUCAUGAAUUAGGAAUGUGUUUAGAUUCUAAAGAAGCAGGAUGAUAAGAAUACCCUAUCUUAAGAAUAAAGCAACUAUAAGGUAGAGAGAGCUCUGUGUGUGCCCCUAGUUUGGGGAAAAGACAUAUCCAUUAUCCUAAGGAUUUCUUUUCUUUUCUUUUCUUUUCGUUUCUUCUCUCUCUCUUUCUUUCUUUCUUGUCUCUUUAGGGCCACAACUUGGCAUAUGGAAGUUCCUAGGCUAGGGGUCAAACUGGAGCUGUAGCUGACAACCUACUCCAUAGUCACAGCAACGGCCAGAUCUGAGCAGCAUCUGUGACCUACACCACAGGUCAUGGCCACACCAGAUCCUUAACUCACUAAGCAAGGCCAAGGAUCGAACCUGCAUCCUCAUGGAUACUAGUCAGGUUUGCUACUGUUGAGCCACAACGGGAAUUCCUUAAGGAUUUCUCUGGUCAUUGAGAAAUCAUAGUGGGUUGAGAAAGCAAUCCUCAAAAUUACAAGCAUCUUUAAACCUAGUAAGAGUUAUAAUGAAAUUUAUAAAAGUUUGAGAAGCAAGCCCACAUGUUAGCAUUUCUGUACCUAUUUGGUAUUUUAGCUAUCCAUAAUGUCUAAGAGAAAUAUGCCAGAAUAACAGAUUUGCCUUGUGAUUCCAACUUAAAUAAUGAAUUGAGAAACUGAGUUUAGGCUUGUGUAAAAUUCCACUCAAACAUAUAACAGAACUUAAAUCACAUAACUGACAAAGGAUUUAUAUUUGGGAUAUAUAAAGAAUUGUCAAAAGUCGGAGUUCCCAUCGUGGUGCAGCGGAAAUGAAUCCAACUAGGAACCAUGAGGUUUGCAGGUUCCAUCCCUGGCCUCGUUCAGUGGGUUAAGGAACUGGUGUUGCCAUGAGUUGUGGUGCAGUUUGCAGAUGAGGCUCAGAUUCCGAGUUGCUGUGGCUGUGGUGUAGGCCUGCAGCUACAGCUCCGAUUCAAUUACUAGCCUGGGAACCUCCAUGUGCCACGGGGGUGGGGGGGGGGGCGCUAAAAAGCAAAAAAAAUUAAAAGUUUCCUCCCAUUAAAAUAAAAUCUAUUAAGACUAAAGAAAUCAAACUCCAAGGCUAAGAUCUGAUAUCUUCCCUCUUUAAACAGUUGAAGCAUAUUUAGGAGGCCACAUAUCUUUAAAGUUAGAAUGUGGAGUUCCUGUCAUGGUACAGUGGAAAUGAAUCCAACUAGGAACCAGGAGGUUGUGGGUUCAGGUUUGAUCCCUGGCCUCACUCGGUGGGCUAAGGAUCUGGCAUUGCUGUGAGCUGUGGUGUAGGCUGGCAGGUGUAGCUCCGAUUAGACCUGUAGCCUGGGAACCCUCCAUAUGCCGUGGGUGAGGCCCUAAAAGCAAAAAAUAAGUAAAAAAUAAAGUUAGAACGUGUGAAGUAAUAAUACAUUUUUGUAAAAAAAAUCAUUCAAGAUAACAAUCUCAUUUGUCUCUCAACUUCUAAUUUCCUAAAACAUUUAAACCUGAAAAGAUCAUUAUAAUAAUUACAGGACAUUUUAAAUAAUAUGAAAUUAUUUCUAUCUUUUACCUGUUGAUCCAAACAUGGUCAACACUAAGACAGAUGUAUAUAAGGUGGAAACAAGAGAAGCACUGUUAGAACUCUUCAAACUAAAAGCUAAUCUCCCCCCCCCAAAAUUAAUAUUUCUUUCCAUUCAGGGGUAGGUAUAGAUCAUGUAGUAGAGAAAAAAUAUUAUUGCCUAAUGAAGUUAGAAAAGCCUAAGAACCAAAUGGGAGUUUUAAGAAGAAAAGGAGAUAAGUCAGUGAAGUUUUAAUUGGACGUUGCCCCAAGGUAGAAAACAGUAUGUGUCCAAAUAUUUUUUAUUGAAGUUGGAGCAAUGCUUAGUAUUUGUCAACUUUUCCAUUAUACUAUCCCAGUGAGAAAAGAAACUUAAAACAAACACAAGUCGCAAUUGCCUUUCUGGGUCUCUGGCUCCUGUCAACUACUUAUCUAAAAAGAAAUCAGAUAUGCCUCCCUGCUUUUCAAAGGACUGCUUCAAAAAACCAGGAGAAAAAAUCUGGACAUCUUUAAUCUUUCUGUAUCAUUUAAACUAUGGAGAAAAGUAAAAUGAAAAGUAAAAUCCUUACUUUCACAUGCGUUACACUUUCCUCACCAACGGGGAGGUGCAGAGAGCAAUGUCAUGGCAGAACCCUGGUCUCAAGUAUCGCCUUUCUACAUCGCCCUCUUCCCCAUCCACUGACUUUUAAGGUCAUCGUUUUAGAAUACCUGCUGGUAGGUUUUCUCCAAGAAAUGCAGCCUUAAAAUGCCUCACGGUAAGCAGGCACCAAAGGAAACAAAUAUGUGUGAAACAACAAAGUCCAAGAAAAAAAAAUCCUACUUGUCCUUUCUAUUGUAAUAACCACAUGAAUGUGGCAGGCAGAAAUCUGCGCUUGCCCUUACCGUUCCCUUCACGUGGUGAGCGGCCUGUGGAGGGUGGCCUCUAGAAGCUGAGGGUGCAUCCCAGCCAACAAUCAACAAGAAAGUGGUCCUACAACAACCCGGCACUGAAUGCCACCAACAGCCGGUGAUCUUGGGAACUUGGCACGGGACUCUGAGCCUAAGAUGAUAUCAUGUUCCCAGCUGACACCUAGAUUUCAGUCUGGUGAAAUCCUGACAAGGGGAACCAGAUCAUCGGUGCCCAGAAUCCUGACAAACAAGAAAGGCAAGAGAAUAAAUGUGUUUUGCUUUAAGGCACUAAAUUUGUGGUAACUGAAAGUGGGAUUCUGCCAUAACAGUAAUUAAAAAUGUGGGCGCAGCUUUGAAGUUGGGUAGUGAGCAGAAACGGGAAGAAUUUUGAGAAAGCCUAACUUGCUUUGAACAAAUUUACUACAUAUCUGGACUUGAAUCUAAAUAGUGUUGGUG
rnacentral:lncRNA from 1 species